rnacentral:rRNA from 1 species
AACGCGAAGAACCUUACCUGGGCUUGAACUACUCGUGGUAAGCCGAUGGAAACAUUGGCUGACCCGCAAGGGAGCGAGCAGAGGUGCUGCAUGGUUGUCGUCAGCUCGUGUCGUGAGAUGUUGGGUUAAGUCCCGCAACGAGCGCAACCCCUACUCGAUGUUGCUAAUCCCGCAAGGGAUGCACUCUUCGAGAACUGCCUUCGAUAAGAAGGAGGAAGGUGGGGACGACGUCAAAUCCUCAUGGCCCUUAUGUCCAGGGCUACACACGUGCUACAAUGGCCGGUACAACGGGAAGCAAUACCGCAAGGUGGAGCAAAACCCUGAAAGCCGGCCUCAGUUCAGAUCGUGGGCUGCAACUCGCCCGCGUGAAGGCGGAAUCGCUAGUAAUCGCGAAUCAGCAGGUCGCGGUGAAUACGUUCCCGGGCCUUGUA